UACCGGUACAUUAAUUAAGUCCCCGAUUGUUGUUUCGAAUGCCAAAUUUAGGCGCUUCUUUCUACCACGGUGUUUCGGGGCUCCUGAAGAAAGAGAAUAGCUUUUCCGCUGUCAGAUAUAGAGGAUCAAAUUUAGUCAAGGUGGUCUUAUCAUACUUCAUAGUACUCUAGGCGCCUCCAAGCUAUGCACGCUCGCGGUUGCGAUCUGAGUGGAAGGACGACGGAGGAUUGCCCAUUGGCCAGCGAAUUCCAGAUAUCUGUAGGAACUACCCAUUCGCCGCUACUGUUAUCACAAUAACAUGACAACUGAGGGGAAUGUCUCGACUAUGGCCACCACAAAUGUCAGUACUGGUAGGAGUAUUAGCUACACGUCAUCUUUUGCUGGCACCAUGGCCAUAGGUAGUGUAGCUGCCACCACAUCGCCUCAUUGUUCGUGUCCUGAGCCGCAGUGCGCUGGUGCUGGAGGCUACAUCGCGGGCAUAUGCAUACUGAUCGUGUUGUUGGUCGCCAUCACGGCAGUGGCCGUGCUCCAAUGGCAGAACAAACUGCAUGUCAUCACGGGAGUGUUCAGCGGGAUGCGUGUCACGCAGCAGAGACCAGCUGGCAACUUUUACAAUGAGGGGCCCGGCCGUCAGGAAGCUACCACGUCGCCGAACACACCUCCGGACAAAACGCCUGCGCCUGCCAAGCAGCUAAGCCAAGUGCCAGCAGUCCGAAGUAGGUCAGUCUUAAGUGGCGACUCCGGCCCGAACAUCGGCCCGCCACCAACACCACUCGCAACCAAGACAAAGCCAGCCACUGACGACUACUGCUCUAUCACAGAUCAAGUGGAAGAAGCUGAGGAAUACGUGGAAGUGGACAAAGAAGAAGGCGGAGAUGAUUACGAUGAUGUCUCCUUCCGAAGUCCUGGCUCCGUUGACCCUUGUCAUAAGGAUGGCAUGGAGAAGACAGGCUCACACGCAUCCUUCACCUCAGAUGACAUUUACGAGAAUUAUGCAUAAUACUCAAUGUUUGCCAUGGUCAGAGUGAAUAAUCACAGCCACGCGUGAUACUGAAUGACCAUGCCAUGAUCGGACUGAGACAAUCACGUGCAUGCAGUGAAACACGGAAGGCGCUCCUGUCAUAGAGUUACUGAUAGAAUCAUACACACCCAAUCUUCAUCAUUUCUUUGUGUCCUGUUAAUCUGCUUAGCCAUGGCAUGCUGUGUUUUCCUGUAAAGGAGCCAGGCUUAGCAUAGUGUGUUCAAUGCACAGUCUGCAGAAACAUCAUGCCCGCCAUAGCCAUUUAUACGCUCUUUCUUAGACUGGAUGUACAUCUACAUCAUCACCGCAUCCACAUUCCCCUGGGGAGUUAUGUACUCUUGCUGGCAGUGCAGUGAUACCGGGAAUGCUCUCGUCGGAUCGUGAGUACACUAAUAUUCCUCCAUCAAAACAUUCAAAAACAUUUCCAGAACCACCGUUACGCUUA